CCCCCCCUCCCCACUCCGCUCCAGCCGGUCCCCCCCCACCGCGCGUCUGGACGCGCCGCCCCUCCUCCAGUCAGGUCCUGGCUCCUCCUCUCCCACUCCCGCCCCGGCGGAGUCGAGACUAGCCCAGAAGAGAAGGGGAGGAGGUGGUAGGGGUGUGGGUUGCUGGUCUCUCUGGACGAUUCACAGUGUCUGGGGCGGCCCCUGCGCUGGAGAGAAAUGGAGGGCUCAAGAGGUGCACUUCGGGAUGCGGCCCAUCCUGGGGAGGAGUCGAGGACCCCACGGCUCGUAGACCCGUCCGACCAGGUCACCGGGCGGACCUGGCGGCGCCAGGCCCGGCGCUCCAGGAGAGGCGCCCGGGAGAGGGGCAGAAGGGUCGAGGGGUCCUCUGGUCCUUAAGCGGCCGGGCUGCGCUGCCCGCCAGCCACGUCUAUUAGCGGCUCCUUGUGACCUAAAAACCACUUCACAGAGGAGGGGCUUCAAUGGUUCUUAAGAGUGCCCUCGGAAGAAGGUCCCUGAAGAACUGCUGCCUUACAACAUCCAAAGAAGUAUUAUUCUCCCUACUUUACAAAAGAGGAAACUGAGGCACAGAGAAGCCAAGUCCCUCGCCCAAGGCCAGGCAAGCUGAUCCGGAAUUCAGGAGCACUUUGGCUGAGUGGUCCUGAUACAGGAUCUCUCAGGAGAUUGCAGUCAAGAUAUUGGCAGGGACUGCAGCAUCUGAAGACUUAACUGGGUCUGGAGGAGCCAUCUCCAUGAUGGUGCCCUCACAUUGCUGUUGAUGGGAGGCCUGAGUUUCUCUCUGUGUGGGCAUCUCCCAGAGCUGCUUGAGUGUCCUCAUGACAUGGUAGAUGGCUUCCCCCAGAGGAAGUGAGUCAAGAGAACAAGAAAGAAGAUAGCAGAA